rnacentral:rRNA from 1 species
GACGAACGCUGGCGGCGUGCUUAACACAUGCAAGUCGAGCGGUAAGGCCUUUCGGGGUACACGAGCGGCGAACGGGUGAGUAACACGUGGGUGAUCUGCCCUGCACUCUGGGAUAAGCCUGGGAAACUGGGUCUAAUACUGGAUAUGACCUCAGCAUGCAUGUGCAGGGGUGGAAAGCUUUUGUGGUGCAGGAUGGGCCCGCGGCCUAUCAGCUUGUUGGUGGGGUAAUAGCCUACCAAGGCGACGACGGGUAGCCGACCUGAGAGGGUGACCGGCCACACUGGGACUGAGACACGGCCCAGACUCCUACGGGAGGCAGCAGUGGGGAAUAUUGCACAAUGGGCGGAAGCCUGAUGCAGCGACGCCGCGUGAGGGAUGAAGGCCUUCGGGUUGUAAACCUCUUUCAGCAGGGACGAAGCGUGAGUGACGGUACCUGCAGAAGAAGCACCGGCUAACUACGUGCCAGCAGCCGCCGUAACAC